rnacentral:SRP_RNA from 1 species
GCUGGGUGUGGUAGCCAUGCCUGUAGUCCUAGCUACUUGGGAGGCUGAGGUGGGAGGAUCGCUUGAGCCCAGGUGUUCUGGGCUGUAGUGCGCUAUGCCGAUCGGGUAUCUGCACUAAGUUUGGCAUCAAUAUGGUGACCUCCCAGAAGCGGGGGACCACCAGGUUGCCUAAGGAGGGGUGAACCAGCCCAGGUCAGAAAUGGAGCAGGUCAAAACCAGGCUGAUCAGUAGUGGGAUCGCGCCUGUGAAUAGCCACAGCACUCCAGCAUGGGCAACAUAGCAAGACCCCAUCUCUU